rnacentral:rRNA from 2 species
CGAGGACACGCCGCGUGAGUGAGAAGGUCUUCGGAUCGUAAAACUCUGUUGUUAGAGAAGAACACGAGUGAGAGUAACUGUUCAUUCGAUGACGGUAUCUAACCAGCAAGUCACGGCUAACUACGUGCCAGCAGCCGCGGUAAUACGUAGGUGGCAAGCGUUGUCCGGAUUUAUUGGGCGUAAAGGGAACGCAGGCGGUCUUUUAAGUCUGAUGUGAAAGCCUUCGGCUUAACCGGAGUAGUGCAUUGGAAACUGGAAGACUUGAGUGCAGAAGAGGAGAGUGGAACUCCAUGUGGCGGGGGU